AGGUACAGGAGUCCAGAGGAAACUACCAGCUCAAGAAGGCGUUGCUACUCAGCCUGCUAGGAACUGCGAAGAUGCUGUGGUAUGAGAAACCAGCAAUGUGAGAGCUGAUUCCAUCCUGCCUGGAAUGCUGAGAAGCCUGCACAGCAGAGGGACAACAGCGUGGGGAGAUCACAGACAACGUCACGUUGCUGAAAAACAACAUGCUUCUAGAAAAAAAACAGAAAGGCAAGUAGGUGCAUCUGUUAUCAAUCAG
ensembl:lncRNA